rnacentral:rRNA from 1 species
CUGAGAGUUUGAUCCUGGCUCAGAACGAACGCUGGCGGCAGGCUUAACACAUGCAAGUCGAACGAACUCUUCGGAGUUAGUGGCAGACGGGUGAGUAACGCGUGGGAACGUGCCCUUCUCUAAGGAAUAGCCACUGGAAACGGUGAGUAAUACCUUAUACGCCCUUCGGGGGAAAGAUUUAUCGGAGAAGGAUCGGCCCGCGUUGGAUUAGGUAGUUGGUGGGGUAAUGGCCUACCAAGGCGACGAUCCAUAGCUGGUCUGAGAGGAUGAUCAGCCACACUGGGACUGAGACACGGACCAGACUCCUACGGGAGGCAGCAGUGAGGAAUCUUGCGCAAUGGGCGAAAGCCUGACGCAGCCACGCCGCGUGUCGGAAGACGGCCCUAUGGGUUGUAAACGACUUUUACCAGGGAAGAACGACUGAAUUUCGAUUUGGUGUGACGGUACCUGGUGAAUAAGCACCGGCUAACUCCGUGCCAGCAGCCGCGGUAAUACGGAGGGUGCAAGCGUUGUCCGGAAUCAUUGGGUGUAAAGGGUGCGUAGGCGGGCUACUAAGUCUGGGGUGAAAUCUUGCCGCUUAACGGUAAAAUGGCCUUGGAUACUGGUAGUCUUGAGUGUAGAAGAGGCAGGUGGAAUUCGUAGUGUAGCGGUGAAAUGCAUAGAUAUUACGAAGAACAUCAGUGGCGAAGGCGGCCUGCUGGUCUACAACUGACGCUGAGGCACGAAAGCGUGGGGAGCGAACAGGAUUAGAUACCCUGGUAGUCCACGC